rnacentral:rRNA from 1 species
AUGGGGGAUCAGGGCAAUGCCUCGUCGUCAACGUCGUGCCGCGGCCGGCGGGGACCGGCAGGGUUGGGGCUGGCGCUGGCCCGGCUGGUGCGGAGGCGGAGCAAGAUGCUCGUAUGCACGACGGCUCCCACGGCCGUGUCGUCCCGGUGCCGCCAGUACGACCCGCUCAGCUACGCGCGCAACUUCGACCGCGACGGCUUCGGCUCCGCGCUGGACGACGAUGUCUCCGGCGCCGGCCACCUCUGCCACCACUACACCUUCGCCUCGCGCUUCGUGCUCGGCUCCUCCCCCGACGCCCGGCGGCCGCAGUAG